rnacentral:rRNA from 1 species
AGGGCACCACCAGGAGUGGAGCCUGCGGCUUAAUUUGACUCAACACGGGAAAACUUACCCGGCCCGGACACUGGAAGGAUUGACAGAUUGAGAGCUCUUUCUUGAUUCAGUGGGUGGUGGUGCAUGGCCGUUCUUAGUUGGUGGAGCGAUUUGUCUGGUUAAUUCCGAUAACGAACGAGACUCUAGCCUACUAAAUAGACCAGUGGCUUCCUAAAACACGUCACUGGCCGCUUCUUAGAGGGACAGGCGGCGGUUCAGCCGCACGAAACAGAGCAAUAACAGGUCUGUGAUGCCCUUAGAUGUCCGGGGCCGCACGCGCGCUACACCGAAGUGAUCAGCGUGCUUGAGUGAACCUGGUCGGCCACGACUGGGUAACCCAAUGAACCUUCUUCGUGAUUGGGAUAGGGGAUUGUAAUUAUUCCCCUUGAACGAGGAAUUCCCAGUAAGCGCGAGUCAUAAGCUCGCGUUGAUUACGUCCCUGCCCUUUGUACACACCGCCCGUCGCUACUACCGAUUGAA